AACGUAGGUGGCAAGCGUUAUCCGGAAUUACUGGGCGUAAAGGGUGUGCAGGCGGGGGAACAAGUGGUGUAUGAAAUCGCUCGGCUUAACCGGGCGCGGUUAUGCCAGACUGUUCUUCUAGAGGACGAGAGAGGGGCGUGGAAUUCCGGGUGUAGUGGUGAAAUGCGUAGAGAUCCGGAGGAACCCCAGAGGCGAAGGCGGCGCCCUGGCUCGUACCUGACGCUCAGCCACGACAGCAUGGGGAG
rnacentral:rRNA from 1 species